ensembl:lncRNA
UUUUUCUUUUUCCCGUCCGUCAGACGAAAAAGCCUGCACGGAAAUAAAACGGAAAACUUUAACACCGGUGUCGACGUGAUAUCCACGCAAAGGCUGCUAAUUCUGUUCAUUAGCAGCACGCACAGAGCUCAUCCGCCAACGCUGAUGUACUUUACACUGACAGCAGACCUACCAAACACACUCGCUGGAGGGGAAAUGAAAAGCAAAAAACGGUGAAAGCCUUAAUGCUUUUUAGCUGCGAGCAAGGCAGGAAGGUGUUAGUUAGACAGCUGUGUGAAGUCAGUAAUCAGCAGUGUUUUAGCGGGUGUAGCAGAGCUCCAUGCGCUGCCAUGUUCCUGCUGGGCCACAGCACCAUACGCCCACCCGCCGCUUAAUUAUACCUCGAAUCAAUGCACCGCGGUAACCUGGAGAAAGCAGACAAAUGGCCAGUCAGCUCGUCUUUCUACUGCGCACAGACUCCUCACAAAGCGUCGGCUUUUUUCCUUCUCGGCCCCGUCAAACCGGCUCGAUCCGUCCUCCCCGCUCUCGUUAUAGCCGAAGGAGUCCAGUGCAUCGCACAAAGAUCCUUUCACAACUUGUGCAGUGGUGGCUUGACGGUCAAGGCUCUGGGUUACCGAUCAGAAGGCCGGGGGUUCAAGCCCCAGCACUGCCAAGCUGCCACCGUUGGACCCUUGAGCAAGGCCCUUAACCCUCUCUGCUCCAGGGGGUGCUGUAUCAUGUCUGCCCCUGCCAUCAGACCCCAGCUUCCUGCCAUGGUGGGGUAUGCGAAGAAAAGAAUUUCACUCUGCUGCAAUGUAAAUGUGAGCGAUAAAGACUCGUUAUCCUUUCAGAACUAAUUAGAAAGAUUGACAUUUUUUUUCUCAGCUAAUUAGAAACAUGCCUUUGUUAUUUAUGUCGCUUAUUUUAGCUCAUAAUUGUGUUAAGAAACAGAUAUAUCUAUAUGAAACUGAAGACAUGAAGGAUAUUGUGCAGCUCUUACUUUCAAUAGACUCCAACGACCUGCAAUUAAAAUGUGAACUUCAUAACUCAAAAGUAA